GGUAUUUGGGGCCCUUGGGUGUGGCAUCUCUGGCUGAGGGUCUAAACUGGUAGCCUCUAAGGUUUGGCAGCUCUCUGGGACUCUUUCAGUAACCAGUCCACAGUGUCUCCUUCUCUUCUCUAGCUCUUUGCAGCCUUCUCUCUUCAGCCUCAAUUUCCUUCCACUUCCUUCCUACUGCCAGUCUCCCUUUGUCCUCACGGCCUCUGUUCUUUGUUAUCGCCCUCCCCCAUCACCCUUUUCCACGCCUCAGCCGCUCCUCCUCACUAACCCAUGUGUUCACUGCAGACUCUUUCUUCACAGCGCUGUUACAUUUCCCUCAUUCUACCGUGUCACCCUGCUCUGCUAAUGAUAACCGUGAUGAGCAAAGUUGUUAAGGCCACCUAAAGGAAGCCUAUCAUCGGGCCUCAUGUGGCAACACUAGAGAGCAGCGCAGGAUGUCUUUUAGUUGACUCACAAAGGGAGUGGAGCAGUGUCUUGGUUUUUCUACUGCAGUGAUACUGUUAGCAAAAG
rnacentral:lncRNA from 1 species